rnacentral:lncRNA from 1 species
CGUUUGUCUUUAAUGUUUUGUCGACAGUGAAACGCAGCCUUAAAUGAUUCACCGCGUGUCGAGCUGUAGAUAAUCGCGCUAAUGAUUCAAAACUGAUUCGAGAACCGACUCAAAAGAGUGAUUCAUUCACGAAUUAAUUGUCGUGUCAAGAGCAUUAACUUCUACACUAUGUGCUAUUGACCAAGAGAGGACGCUGUUUCUCAGCAGUCAGCUGCCUUGAGUUGGAGGUGAGAAUUGUUUACUACACAGACAGCAACGGCGUCCUGUGAUUUCUCUUGAUGCUCUGGACUUCCAUUGACUGAUCAAACUGUGCAAUCAGAUCUCAACUGAGCCCACAACCAAUUGACUUAUUAGAAAAUCUGUGCAAGUUUCUGUCUCCUGGAUUCAGUUUUUCUUGCUCUCUUCACCUCUCACACUUUCUAGCCAUGCUGAGAGGAGGGAUCACAAGGGUGUAUUACUGAUGUAUUUGAUGUCAGAUUAAAAAAAAAUAU